rnacentral:rRNA from 1 species
AUUGAACGCUGGCGGAAUGCUUUACACAUGCAAGUCGAACGGCAGCACGGACUUCGGUCUGGUGGCGAGUGGCGAACGGGUGAGUAAUAUAUCGGAACGUGCCCAGUCGUGGGGGAUAACGUAGCGAAAGCUACGCUAAUACCGCAUACGAUCUACGGAUGAAAGCGGGGGAUCGCAAGACCUCGGGCGAUUGGAACGGCCGAUAUCCGAUUAGGUAGUUGGUGAGGUAAAGGCUCACCAAGCCGACGAUCUGUAGCUGGUCUGAGAGGACGACCAGCCACACUGGGACUGAGACACGGCCCAGACUCCUACGGGAGGCAGCAGUGGGGAAUUUUGGACAAUGGACGCAAGUCUGAUCCAGCCAUUCCGCGUGCAGGACGAAGGCCUUCGGGUUGUAAACUGCUUUUGUACAGAACGAAAAGGUCUCUAUUAAUACUAGGGGCUCAUGACGGUACUGUAAGAAUAAGCACCGGCUAACUACGUGCCAGCCGCCGCCGUAA